rnacentral:rRNA from 1 species
AUUGAACGCUGGCGGCAGGCCUAACACAUGCAAGUCGACCGAGUGGCGGACGGGUGAGUAAUGUAUGGGAAACUGCCCGAUGGAGGGGGAUAACUACUGGAAACGGUAGCUAAUACCGCAUACAAUCGGUAGGGCCAAGAUGGGAUUAGCUAGUAGUGGGGGUAACGGCUCACCUAGGCGACGAUCCCUAGCUGGUCUGAGAGGAUGACCAGCCAAACGGGAACUGAGACACGGCCCAGACUCCAACGGUAGGCAGCAGUGGGGAAUAUUGCACAAUGUGCGCAAGCCUGAUGCAGCCAUGCCGCGUGUAUGAAGAAGGCCUUCGGGUUGUAAAGUACUUUCAGCGAGGAGGCGUUACUCGCAGAAGAAGCACCGGCUAACUCCGUGCCAGCAGCCGCGGUAAUUC